GCGGAAGUGGCGAAACUGGCAGACGCACCAGACUUAGGAUCUGGCGCCGCAAGGCAUGGAGGUUCAAGUCCUCUCUUCCGCACCA
rnacentral:tRNA from 9 species